rnacentral:lncRNA from 1 species
GAAAAGAGUCUUCUCCAACUAAGUAAGUGCCUUCUCUUUGUCCUUAUUUUAUAGACACAAGCCCCCUCCAGAUUCUGAGCAAACUUGCAUUUUGAUUUUCAGCAAGUGUUUGGACCUAGCAGCACACAGCUGCAAUGUGAGGCAACCCGGGAAACCGCAAAGACACAAACAGAGCUAGAAGCAGCAGAGAAUGAGGCAGCCUUCCCUCCCCCGGACAGCCUGCAUUAUGAAGAAGUUUUGGCAGAUCGAGGUGGAAACAGUUGGUGACCUUCCCUCACAGACCUGGCUGUUUGAAGACUUGAAGUCUGCCACGGGUUAGAUCUUGUAUGUUCCCCAAAGUCCUGAGUGCCCAAGGCUUAGUCCCCAAGCUGGUAGACCAGGAGGUGGUAGAGAUAUUUGAUGUUAAUGAUGGGUGGACAGUCUUUGGAUCACUGAAGGUAUGGUCGACCUUGAGGGGAAUAGCACACCCUGACUCCCUCUUCAUGUUGUCUCUUCUUCCUGGCCAAGAGAUGAGAGGGGGUUUCUCCAGUGUGUGCACCUGCCUUGAUCAACCACUUCUACACAGCCCCAAAGCAUGGGUUAACCUCUGAACUCUUUAGAAGGUUGAACCUCUAAACAGAGAACCUUUUCUCUUUAUAAGGUGAUGGUCUCGGUCAUUUCUUAUAGUAACUAAAACCUGACUUACACACAGAGCUACACGUUGAGCAUCAUCCUGGACAUUUAACACGAGGGGGCAAAGGUCAUGGACGAACCAGAACAUCCAUGUGCAAUAUUUGGUUCAUACGUUUUGACCUUUCAAAAAUAGUCAAACGAGCUCAUUUGCUGCUGUGUUUAACAAACUCAACCAAUGUCCUCAUGUCCUCAGCCUGAGGAAAGGGACAUUCA